GGAUCAUGAUGUUAUUGUAUGGAUGCUGGCUUGUUGCACUCUGCUCUUGCAUCAUAGGUCCACCAGAGUGGGUGGAUGGUUAUGAUAAUUCA